rnacentral:rRNA from 1 species
AACGGGUGCGUAACGCGUAUGCAACCUACCCUAUACAGGGGGAUAGCCCGGAGAAAUCUGGAUUAAUACCCCAUGGUACUAUAAAGAAGCAUUUCUGUGUGAUUAAAGAUUCAUCGGUAUAGGAUGGGCAUGCGUCUGAUUAGCUAGUUGGCGGUGUAACGGACCACCAAGGCUACGAUCAGUAGGGGUUCUGAGAGGAAGGUCCCCCACACUGGCACUGAGAUACGGGCCAGACUCCUACGGGAGGCAGCAGUAGGGAAUAUUGGGCAAUGGACGAGAGUCUGACCCAGCCAUGCCGCGUGCAGGAAGACGGCGUUCUGCGUUGUAAACUGCUUUUAUCUGGGAAGAAAAUGCCCCUGCGGGGGAAAUUGCCGGUACCAGAUGAAUAAGCACCGGCUAACUCCGUGCCAGCAGCCGCGGUAAUACGGAGGGUGCAAGCGUUGUCCGGAUUUAUUGGGUUUAAAGGGUGCGUAGGCGGCUGUUUAAGUCAGUGGUGAAAGACUCCGGCUCAACCGGAGCAGUGCCAUUGAUACUGGACAGCUUGAGUAUUGG